UUGGACUAAAGUAAUUUGAUUUUAGUUAAUAAAGUAAUUUUUUCAUGAUUUUUACAUGUGAAUUUUAGUGGGGAUUAUUUGUUUUCUUAAAGAAAGUAAAAUUAGAGUAUUCGCAGUUUCAAAUAUUAUUAUAGAAUGAAUAUUUGUUUUAGUUAUUGAGAUUAUAAUUAGCUAAAAGUGUGCCAGCAGCUGCGGUUAUACACUUAAUUAAAAUUACUUUUUUUUAUUAAUAAUUACUAUUAUGUAAGUUGGAUUUAUAGGGCAAAUUUUUAGGGUAAAAUCUAUAAUUUGUUUUAUUUCUGGGUUAGGAUUUUAUGAUAUUUUUAUAUAAACUAGGAUUAGAUACCCUAUUAUUUUAAAUGUAAAUUUAAAAUAGUACUAAUAGAUAUGAUCUUUAAAUUAAAAGAAUUUGACGGUAAUUUAAUCUGUUCAGAGGAGCCUGUAUUUUAAUCGAUAAUCCACGAUAAAUUUUACCUUUUAAAUAUAAUUUGUAUAUCUCUGUCUUAAGAAUGUUUUAUUAGAAUUUUAUUUUCAGUUUUUUGUUUUAAACUUAAGUCAAGUCAAGGUGCAGUUUUUUAAGGAUUUUAUGGGCUACUUUAAUUUUAAUUAUGGAUAGACAAUUGUAUUAUUUUCUAGAAAAUGGAUUUGAUUGUAAUUUAUAUUAUCUUUUAUAUAUGAUAAUUGCCCUGUAUUAAGUACACAUCGCCCGUCGCUCUUAUUAUUCAAGAUAAGAUAAGUCGUAACAAAGUAGGCUUAUCGGAAGAUGAGCCUGGAAUUAAU
rnacentral:ncRNA from 1 species